GCGCGUAUAGCUCAGUUGGUAGAGCACGUCACUGAUACUGACGGGGUCCUAAGUUCAAAUCUUAGUACGCGCA
rnacentral:tRNA from 1 species